CCUACGGGUGGCUGCAGUGGGGGAUAUUGCACAAUGGGGGAAACCCUGAUGCAGCGACGCCGCGUGGGCGAAGAAGUAUUUCGGUAUGUAAAGCCCUAUCAGCAGGGAAGAAGAAAUGACGGUACCUGAGUAAGAAGCACCGGCUAAAUACGUGCCAGCAGCCGCGGUAAUACGGAGGGUGCAAGCGUUAUCCGGAUUUACUGGGUGGAAAGGGAGCGGAGGCGGCAAGGCAAGCCAGAUGUGAAAGCCCGGGGCCCAACCGCGGGACUGCCUUGGGAACUACGGGGCUGGAGUGCCGGAGGGGUAGGCGGAAUUCCUGGUGUAGCGGUGAAAUGCGUAGAUAUUAGGAGGAACACCAGUGGCGAAGGCGGCCUGCUGGACGGUGACUGACGCUGAGGCUCGAAAGCGUGGGGAGCAAACAGGAUUAGAUACCCGUGUAGUC
rnacentral:rRNA from 1 species